CUCUGAAUCCAAUAUCCUGGACCCACCUGUUCAGCUCUCAAACUCCUCAUCCUAGUUGACCAAGAACUGGUGAAAAAAAAAAAUGGAGAAGGAAUAUCCUGAAUCAUUUACCUAGAACUUGGACAGGGUGUAAACAGGUCAAAGGCAAAGUAACUUCUAAGAAAUCAGAAAGAUGUGGGAGUACCGGAAUGAUGUCCUGCAAGGCCGUGAUGUUGACAGAUGCCAAGACUGGUUUGAUGGUGCGUGGAGAAUGGGAUCACCAAUGAAAAUUUGCAUUAAAUACUGUAAGUUGACUUCUGUUCAUCUGUUACAUCUCAGAUCAUAUGUCACUUUUUCAACUAAGCUUCCCUUGACCUCCAAGAUCAAGUGAUGCAAUCCAUUCUCAUUCCACCUGACCUCAUUUCACCGUUCCCUUCCUGGUAUUCAAUUCCCAGCAGAGGACCUCUUUCUGCACUGAUGCAUGGUUUGGAGAAUCAUGGUGGGAAAUCCUUCAGCCUGAAGAAAGGCAGGGAAGUUUGAGCAACACCCACCCAGAAGGCUUUUCUCCCCACCUUAGGAUGUCAGCAGGUUGGAAGGAAACCAAGGAUAUUAUUAGCCUCUGAAGUUGAGUGGAGGGUUAUCUGAUCCUCGAAGCCAGUGGUCUUUAACCUGAAGCAUCUAUAUCUCUGAAGAUUUAUAAAUAUUUUCCCAAAAGAUACAUAAACAAAUUUGGUUUU